rnacentral:lncRNA from 1 species
GAUGUAAGACCAGGAUAAAAUGAAAAUAACUUUUAUUUUUAUUUUUAUUUUUAUAUUUUCAAAUAUUUAUAUUUAUUUAUGGUAUUUUAUUAUUCUGUGCGCGAGUUUGAAGUGAAAGCUGCGGCUGCUACCCUACCCUCUUCCCUUUCUUUCUUAAUAUCAGGUAUCCAAGAUUUGGAAAUUUUUUAAAGUCUUGGUUUUUUAGACUUAGGGGCUGCAAUGCACUCUUUAAAUCCCCAAAUGACGACUAGUGUCAAAAUAUAGGUGCAACAAAUGUUUCAAUUUAGUUUCUUUUCAAGCUAGCUAUGUUUGGUGGUGAGAUUGGGGACAAAAAUGUUUCCAAAUUUUUGGUUUUUGAAUUUACACUUCAAAAUCAAAAUUUCAUUAAAGUUCAGGCAAUAUUUUUUAAUAUAAAAAGUGAUAAAUAGUACUUCAGAACUGAUAAUAUUAUAGAUAAAAGGAUAUGAUGAUAAUAUAAUAGAUAGUAUUGGACCACUGUCUCUCCACCACAACGAUUCACAACCAUAGUGUUGUCGGUGUCG